AUUGAACGCUGGCGGCAGGCCUAACACAUGCAAGUCGAACGAGUGGCGGACGGGUGAGUAAUGUCUGGGAAACUGCCGGAUGGAGGGGGAUAACUACUGGAAACGGUAGCUAAUACCGCAUACCACAGGAUGUGGCCAUAUGGGAUUAGGUAGUAGGUGGGGGAACGGCUAACCUAGGCGACGAUCCCUAGCUGGUCUGCGAGGAUGACCGGCCACACUGGAACUGAGACACGGGCCAGACUCCUACGGGAGGCAGCAGUGGGGAAUAUUGCACAAUGGGCGCAAGCCUGAUGCAGCCAUGCCGCGUGUAUGAAGAAGGCCUUCGGGUUGUAAAGUACUUUCAGCGGGGAAGCGUUACUCGCAGAAGAAGCACCGGCUAACUCCGUGCCAGCAGCCGCGGUAAUUC
rnacentral:rRNA from 1 species